AGAAGAUACAUCCCCGGCCGUUCGAGGACUAGCGUCAGUUUGGCGUACACCUGAACUGUACACCACAAGAUGACAAGUUCUGAGCAUUUACCCCUGGUUCACAGAUCAGAAGAAGCGGAAAACGCAGACAAUGGAACAACGGACAACAUACGAUUGACAAAAGCUCAGGAAACGUACUACCAUCGUGCCGCAUCAUUCCUGGCCAGUUUCUCCGUCGCAGUUCUUUUGGUGUUAGCUAUUACGAGUUUUGGGUUGUUGCCGUGUGAUAAAGGCCCUACAAUGAUCAUGAAAUACUCACAGAUGCCC